rnacentral:rRNA from 1 species
CCUACGGGUGGCAGCAGUGGGGAAUAUUGCACAAUGGGGGAAACCCUGAUGCAGCGACGCCGCGUGAGCGAUGAAGUAUUUCGGUAUGUAAAGCUCUAUCAGCAGGGAAGAAAAUGACGGUAUCUGACUAAGAAGCCCCGGCUAACUACGUGCCAGCAGCCGCGGUAAUACGUAGGGGGCAAGCGUUAUCCGGAUUUACUGGGUGUAAAGGGCGCGUAGACGGCUGUGCAAGUCAGAUGUGAAAGCCCGGGGCUCAACCACGGGACUGCAUUUGGAACUGUGUGGCUGGAGUGUCGGAGAGGUAGGCGGAAUUCCUGGUGUAGCGGUGAAAUGCGUAGAUAUUAGGAGGAACACCAGUGGCGAAGGCGGCCUGCUGGACGAUGACUGACGUUGAGGCUCGAAAGCGUGGGGAGCAAACAGGAUUAGAUACCCUAGUAGUC